rnacentral:rRNA from 1 species
AUGACCGUCCCCGGUUCGCCGGUUUCUCCCGGUGCAAGCAAGAUGAGCAGCGUGCCGUGGAAGCGGCUGGAGCUCGCCGCGCUGUGCGCCUACGCGGUGGUGUUCUACAGCGCCAUGGUCCAGAGGUCGCUUCGCCUCGCCCGCGAUUACUCCGGGAAACUCUACGGCCUAAGAGCUGGAUCAAUCCCCGGCCGUCUGAACGACUCGUCUGACGCGCAAUGGAGAAACUUCCGUGGGAACUUACCUAUUCUCACCGUUGUAAUGGCUGCAUUUCUGAUCGUGGCGAAAGGGCUGCGAUACGGCUGUAGCUUGAAGGGCAGAGGGGCCUCGUUGGUCUGGCUUAUAUUGUCCCUGAUCUAUCUAUGCUACCUACAUGGUGCUUGUGUUGGCUUCAUUCUUGUAAUAGCAGGGGUUAAUUACGCCAUAGUCAAGUUAUUUGCUCGAUAUAAAUAUUGCACUGGCAUCAUAUGGAGCUUCAACUUAGCUAUGCUUACACUUAACCGGGUCUACGAAGGCUAUUCAUUCUCAUUGUUCGGGCAACAACUGGCUUUCCUUGAUAACUAUCGGGGUACAUUUCGAUGGCACAUAUGCUUCAAUUUUGUUGUAUUACGGAUGAUUAGCUUUGGAUGUGAUUACUGCUGGACACUUAGUUCGUCUCACUUUGAUCACAAGAAACACAUGCAGAAAUGUGAAGUUUGUUAUUCCGGCAAGACAUGCUACUUUGCUUUGCAGGAGAAAGGACUCAGCGUUGACAAAUACACAUUCCUAACAUAUUUAUGCUACCUAACAUAUGCUCCACUCUAUAUUGCUGGACCUGUUGUAAGCUACAACGCAUUUGCAGCUCAGUUAGAUGUACCUCAGAAAAAUUAUUCAGUUGGGCAGAUAUGUUGUUAUGGACUAAGGUGGAUCCUAAAUUUCCUUCUAAUCGAAGUCAUGACACACUUUUUCCAUUACAACGCGUUUGUAGUCAGCCGAUUAUGGCGGCAGUUGGCACCGUUUGAGAUCUUCAUCAUUAGUUAUGGGGUGUUGUUCUUUAUGUGGUUAAAAUUCUUCCUUAUUUGGCGCUACUUCAGGUUCUGGUCACUGGUAGGAGGAGUUGAGACACCUGAAAACAUGCCUAGGUGCAUAAAUAAUUGUCCUGACCUGGAGAGUUUCUGGAAAAGCUGGCAUGCUUCCUUUAACAGAUGGCUGGUCAGGUACGUUUACAUACCUCUUGGUGGGUCUCGAAGAAAACUAAUUAGUGUCUGGAUUGUAUUCACAUUCGUAGCAGUCUGGCAUGACCUGGAAUGGAAACUUAUUUCAUGGGCAUGGUUAACAUGCUUAUUUUUUGUCCCUGAAAUAGUGAUCAAGUCUUUUUCCAACAACUUCCAGGCAAAAAGUACCCUUGGGCGGUUCAUUCAUCGUGAAUUAUGUGUAAUUGCUGGUGCUGUGACAGUCAGCUCCCUUAUGGUGGCAAACCUUGUUGGCUACGUUGUAGGGCCGUCAGGCAUUAAGGUUCUGAUGUCGCGGAUGCUCCACAAGGAUGCCCUUCCUGCACUUGGCAUCAUAUUCUCUACUUUCUAUGUGGGCGUCAAGCUUAUCUUCCAUAUACGGGACGCUAGAAAGACUUAA